CCCUUAGAUGUCCUGGGCUGCACGCGCGCUACACUGAACGGAUCAGCGCGUUUUCCCUUCCCGAGAGGGACGGGUAACCUGCUGAACCCCGUUCGUGGUAGGGAUCGGGGCUUGCAAUUAUUCCCCGUGAACCAGGAAUGCCCAGUAAGUGCAAGUCAUAAGCUUGCGUUGAUUACGUCCCUGCCCUUUGUACACACCGCCCGUCGCUACUACCGAUUGAACGUUUUAGUGAGGUACUCGGACUGAGCCUCAGAAGAUUCACGUCUUUUGUGCUGCUCGGGAAGAUUCCCAAACUUGAGCGUUUAGAGGAAGUAAAAGUCGUAACA
rnacentral:rRNA from 1 species